rnacentral:rRNA from 1 species
GAUGAACGCUAGCUACAGGCUUAACACAUGCAAGUCGAGGGGAAACGAUAUUGGAAGCUUGCUUCCGAUAGGCGUCGACCGGCGCACGGGUGAGUAACGCGUAUCCAACCUGCCCAUCACUUGGGGAUAACCUUGCGAAAGUAAGACUAAUACCCAAUGACGUCUCUAGAAGACAUCUGAAAGAGAUUAAAAGAUUUAUCGGUGAUGGAUGGGGAUGCGUCUGAUUAGCUUGUUGGCGGGGUAACGGCCCACCAAGGCGACGAUCAGUAGGGGUUCUGAGAGGAAGGUCCCCCACAUUGGAACUGAGACACGGUCCAAAACUCCUACGGGAGGCAGCAGUGAGGAAUAUUGGGUCAAUGGACGAGAGUCUGAACCAGCCAAGUAGCGUGCAGGAAGACGGCCCUAUGGGUUGUAAACUAGCUUUUAUAAGGGAAUAAAGUGAGUCUCGUGAGACUUUUGCAUGUACCUUAUGAAUAAGGACCGGCUAAUUCCGUGCCAGCAGCC